GGAGUCCAACGGGGACUAUGGGGCCCUGGCCCCCCAGGGCAGCUCCUGAAUGCGUGGGCUGUGACCUGCUACCAAGGAAGUUCUGGCCCUGCCUGCAGAUAGAGCAAACACAUCAGGACUCAAGGCCAUUAGAUUAACUGCUGGGAGUUAACUUCCUGCGUCAGAAGAAUUGUCCUUAAUUGAAGAAAGGAAUAACUAGCAAUUUAGAGACGCUGACCUCAGCUGCCUGCAGGAGAGAGAAGCCAGAGUCAGCCGGUGCUUCCUGGGCCUCCCAGCUCUGUGACUGAGAGACGGGGUCAGGGUUCCAGACAGGAUCUUUCCUCUGGGACCCGCUGCCCAGACCCUUUCCUCUGCCCACAGUCUGUUCAGCUUCCGCCUCUGGAGUAGCCCGUUGCCCCCCGGGCCCAGCCAAGCAAUCCAGCCUGGAGAACUGGGAAAACAGUGCAGAGGCCAAUGCUACCUGUUCCCCAGGAGAGUGUGAACACAGAUGUGGAUGGAGCGAAGAGGUGCAGGUCCGAGCACAGUGGUACCCACCACAUGCCUCCCCAGGAGGGGAUGGAGAAGAAGGUGGGCAGUCUGAGCUGAAGUCAGCAGAGAAAGGCCUCCUAUUCAACAGGAAUAAACCCUGGCAGCCCCCAUGGCCCGAGUGUGAUAUAAGCUCCCCCUGCAGACCUGCCCCACCCUGCCCUCUCCACCGAGGCAACAUCUGUACUUGCUGAUACAGAUCUCAAAGUGUAUUAGUCUUAACUCCCCAGAGAGGACCCCACACUGCUGGGGCUCAGGCAGCUGCUGAAGAGAAGCCAAGACAGAGUCAUUGGGGGGAGGGAACCCCUGAGAAAGGGUCAUUCUGUCCAUCCUUCUGCCUCCAGACUUUGCUACAACCUUCAGCUCUCUCUGUUAGGCUAGCUGGGAAGCUCUUCUUCACAUCUGCUCUAUUUCUCUCCAGCUGUAGCAACAACACAAUAACAACAAUCACAGGAAUAGAUUUGCUGAGUGACUACUAUGUACCUGGAAAUGUUUUAAGUACUUUUCAUGUGUUACCUCAUUUAAUCCUUAUAGCAACAUAAUGAGGGAGGCAUUAUUCUAACCGUCCCCAUUUCACAGAUAAGAAACUGAGGCUCAGAGAGGCUAGGUAUCUUUCUUUAGGUCACACAGCUAGUAAGUGGUUGGACCAAGUAUUCCAACCCAAGCCCUAGGAUGUCUGUGAUUCUCACCUUAACCUCUAGAGAGAAGAAAACAAGAAAUAAAUAAGACAAAAGCAAGACACAGGAAACUGAGAGGCUGAGGCUCUGCCACUAACUCCAGGCACAGCCUCAGACAGCUCACCGCCCUGCCCUGUCUAUACUAGAUUCACAGGUUUCCCAGAACCUUUCCGCUGGGCUCUGACCCCGUGGUUUUCCAAAGCCCACAUUCAAGAUGCUCUGGCAGGUGGAGAAGCUGAGUCAGCAGGAGUCUCCAGGGCACAGAUGCUGCGGCCUUGGCCUGGGCAGAGGCCUCCUGGGGUUAUCGGCCCGUAUCCCCUGGCCGGAUCUCAUCCCCUGGCCGGAUCUCGUGGGUGGGUGCUGCUGGGGCUAUCUAUUCUUAUUGGAAUUUGAAUGCUUCGGGUCAGAGUGACUAAAAGGCUGAAUUUUACAAGGGUUUUGAAAGUGAAUUGACUCCACUUAUUAAAGAUAUACUAGAUUACUCGCUGAGCGAAAGGACGCUCCGGGGACUCCAGGCCUUUCUCGAAGACAGAACCAUCCCUUUCCGAGCCCAGCCGCUCCCAGUAAACCACAGGGGGAGACAUUGCACUGGGCAGGUGCCAAUUAAAUUACCGGCUGAAGGAUAGCAGUCCAUCAAGGAAACAUCCUGGCCUGGAAGGGCUGCAGGUGAAUAAAGAGGCAGUUGUAGAAAUGCCCUCUGGUUAUUUUAUGCAAAUCCAUUUCUAAAGGCAGGAAGGCAAAGACUACAAGGAAAGUAUUCACAGGAAGACUUGACUUUUGGUCAUGAAAUGUACAAGGGAGAGAGAGGGAUGAAGGGUGUUUUGUGCUCCAGAAUGUGACGCACAGGACCGAUGCCAGGUAGGGGUCAAGACACUGCUUGUUUUCAGACUCAGAGUCCUAGGGGAGUGAGUCCUAGGUGGGCGGGGGCUGGGAGGUUGCUCGUCUACGCCUCUGAGGAUGCUGGACAGUUUGAAGGGUAUCUGGACUCAGGACUGGAGUUGGAAGGACUUCCAGACCCCACUCACCGCAUCCACCUCCAGCUCAGCUGACCCAGCACCUCACUGUACAGAUGGGGAAGCUGGGCCCCAGGUCUCAUUCAAAUGCCACGUCCUCCAUGAAGACCACCAGGAUUGCAACCUUCGCUCAAUAAAAAUGAGUCACUUCUUUGAAUGCACAACCAUGCUCUGUUGCUUCCCUCUGUUUCACCUUAAUUUUCAUUCUGCUUAACGAGGGCCUGUGCCUUACUUAUCUCUGGAUUUCCAUAGAUGUAGUAAACUUUAAAUGACUGUUAGUGAAAAUUAAAAUGUGUCUUGUGACCUAG